CUGGAGGAUAAAUGUUCUGACUUUGUUCUUUCCAGUUGAUCUGAGAGGAAUUGAAGGAAUAAAUACAAAAUCUUCAGCAACAAAAAGAUGUUCCCAUUAAGAUAUUUCCCUCCUAGUCCUCUAAGAGU